GCAGCGGUUGAAACAUAUGCAAAUAGAAGUUUCUGCAUCACUGGGUCGUCACUGCAACUCCAUGACAGCUCACUGCGACUCCAUGAUGGGAUAUCUUCUGAAAGUGUGAUCGGUUCAUCUGUUUUCAGUGUUCCUACAAUAAAGGACAGGUUCAGUCUAUCAAUCAAUGUCUAAAUAUAUGAACUGUCACAGAUAGUCAAACUCUUACCAUCACUAUCUAAAAUUCCAGCUUCAACAAGCUUUGGAACAUGCAGUGCCAGUGCCAUAGAUGCCGGUCCAGAGAGAAGCACCGCCGCUCGUUUGAUUCCCAUUUUCUCCGCCACUUCAAGCGCCCAUCCGGCCGCCGUAUCAGCCAAAACACAACUGAUUUUCUCAUCAC
rnacentral:lncRNA from 1 species